UGCCCCUGGCAGAAUCCACUUUCCUUUUCUGUCUGCACCUUUGCUCUUUGUCCUUCUGUAGUGUGAUCUAGCUGUGUGUGACUCACAACCAGACAUGCAGAGACAGGCGCCGCCUGAAUCUGGUUAGAAGACAGCUGGCUCACGGAGCAAGAACAAUAACCUAGAGGAAGAAAAUCUACGAGACGAGGAAGGACAGAAAGAAGAAUGGGAAGGAAGAGAGAAACAGAAAGAGAGAGAGAGAGAGAGAACAAGAAGUGAGGAAUAUUUUAAAAAGAAGAGGCAGAAGGAAUCAUGAAUAAAAGAAGAAAAGAGCUCUGAAAACAACUUCAUCCUGGCUCAGUCAAGCUCAUUUUCUCUGCAGCAAAGAGGAAGUAAACAAAUUUGCUCUUCACUCUCCCUUCUCCAUUCAAAGCCAUCCUGGUGAGGAGACCCUUUCUUCUGAAGUUAUACCACUAGAGGGGUUACAAGUUCCUAAAUUUCAGCAUCCCUCACCAAGUCUUCUCCAUCCACCUGUCAUUGGUGCCAGACAAGAAUCAGGGCUCUUUGGAGCAAAGACUGAAACAGAUGAAGUAUGAAGUGUACUUGGAACGUCUUCUUACUGUAGAAAGUAAAAAUGUCUUGCCAAGUAAAGAAGAUCUGUCAAAAAUCACACAGGAACUAGUUUGAAGGGGGCUCCCACUGGUCAAGUAUGGGGCAAUUUGAAUCUCAAAAUAAAUACUGAUGUCAUGGAUAAUGAUCCAUUGAACAAAAUGGCAAUUCAUGCAUCUUAUCCAUAGGAAUCAAUCAAUCAAUCAAUAAGAAAGAAGAGAUAGUAUUUCCUCUUGAAGGGCACAACAAUGAAUGCAUAGGUAAUGAUGAAAUUAGAAAAAUCAAAAUUUGUUUGCUAUUGUAGGAAUAUAUCAUUCAAGAACCAUCAAAGGAUGAUAAAAUAUUCUGAGAGUUUGUUCAGGAACAUGAUAUCAAUAUGAUUUCAAGAUAGCUCCCCACAAGAUGCUUAUUAAUUAUUAAUGGAAAAAAUCAAUAAUUUUAUAAGGGAGAAAAUUGGAGAAUAGCACUUUAUCCAGAGUGAUGAAUGUGAAUAUGACCAUCGAUGGAACACUGAUAUCAAGUCUUCCUACCUUGAUGUACUAGGAAGACACAGCAGCAGUUUGGAGACAUGACUGUCCAAAAUGCAUCACCUGAAUCCAAUUAAUCAAACUCACACUGAGGGCAUUCUACAACCCAGCUAUCCAUCAACUUAAAGAAUAUCAAGAUCACAAAAGACAAGAAAAAACUCAGAAAGUGCCCCAGAAGUAGGAGACUGAAAGAGAUAAUACAGAAAGAUAUGACAACUAAAUGCAUUAUGCUAUGCUGGAUUGGAAAAUGGACCAUAAAGGAUUUUUUUUCCUGCUGUAAAGACUUUUAUUGGGACAAUUGUUCAAAUUUAAAUGAGAUCCUAGUAUUAGGAAGCAAUAAUAUAUCAAUAUUAAAUUCCUGAUUUUGAUGGUCAUUUUGUGAUUAGGUAGGAAAGUAACCUUGUCUUUUAGAAAAUACACAAUGUAAUGUUUAGAAGUUUUCAACUUAUCUUCAGUUGAUUUAAUGGAAAGAAAGAAAGUACAGACAAUAAUCAGGACAAGAAUGACAAAGCAAUGGUGAUAAUAAUGCUAACAAUUAAAAGUCUAGGUAAAGUGUAUCUAGGGUGUACUCUUUAA